UACGUAGGUUGCGAGCGUUGUCCGGAUUUACUGGGCGUAAAGCGCGCGCAGGCGGUCCUGAAAGUCGAAUGUGAAAGCUCCUGGCCCAACUGGGAGAGGCCGUUCGAAACUUCGGGACUUGAAGGCGGGAGAGGCAGAUGGAAUUUCCGGUGUAGCGGUAAAAUGCGUAGAUACCGGAAGGAACACCAGUGGCGAAAGCGAUCUGCUGGCCCGCCCUUGACGCUCAGGCGCGAAAGCUAGGGGAGCGACCGGG
rnacentral:rRNA from 1 species